UGGGGAAUUUUACACAAUGGGCGAAAGCCUGAUGUAGCGACACCGCGUGAGCGAAGAAGCCUUUUGGGGUGUAAAGCUCUGUCAGCAGGGACGAAAAAAAUGACGGUACCUGCAGAGGAAGCAUCGGCUAACUACGUGCCAGCAGCCGCGGUAAGACGUAGGAUGCAAGCGUUGUCCGGAUUUAUUGGGCGUAAAGAGUUCGUAGGUGGUUUGUUAAGUCUGAUGUAAAAGACUGGGGCUCAACCUCGGGACUGCAUUGGAUACUGACAGACUUGAGUGUGGUAGAGGCAAUCGGAAUUCCAGGUGUAGCGGUGAAAUGCGUAGAUAUCUGGAAGAACACCGGUGGCGCAAGCGGAUUGCUGGGCCAUAACUGACACUGAGGAACGAAAGCUAGGGUAGCGAAUGGGAUUAGAUACCCCCGUAGUCC
rnacentral:rRNA from 1 species